AGCGUACACGGUGGAUGCCCUGGCAGUCAGAGGCGAUGAAGGACGUGCUAAUCUGCGAUAAGCGUCGGUAAGGUGAUAUGAACCGUUAUAACCGGCGAUUUCCGAAUGGGGAAACCCAGUGUGUUUCGACACACUAUCAUUAACUGAAUCCAUAGGUUAAUGAGGCGAACCGGGGGAACUGAAACAUCUAAGUACCCCGAGGAAAAGAAAUCAACCGAGAUUCCCCCAGUAGCGGCGAGCGAACGGGGAGGAGCCCAGAGCCUGAAUCAGUGUGUGUGUUAGUGGAAGCGUCUGGAAAGGCGCGCGAUACAGGGUGACAGCCCCGUACACAAAAAUGCACAUGCUGUGAGCUCGAUGAGUAGGGCGGGACACGUGGUAUCCUGUCUGAAUAUGGGGGGACCAUCCUCCAAGGCUAAAUACUCCUGACUGACCGAUAGUGAACCAGUACCGUGAGGGAAAGGCGAAAAGAACCCCGGCGAGGGGAGUGAAAAAGAACCUGAAACCGUGUACGUACAAGCAGUGGGAGCCUCUUUAUGGGGUGACUGCGUACCUUUUGUAUAAUGGGUCAGCGACUUAUAUUCUGUAGCAAGGUUAACCGAAUAGGGGAGCCGAAGGGAAACCGAGUCUUAACUGGGCGUUAAGUUGCAGGGUAUAGACCCGAAACCCGGUGAUCUAGCCAUGGGCAGGUUGAAGGUUGGGUAACACUAACUGGAGGACCGAACCGACUAAUGUUGAAAAAUUAGCGGAUGACUUGUGGCUGGGGGUGAAAGGCCAAUCAAACCGGGAGAUAGCUGGUUCUCCCCGAAAGCUAUUUAGGUAGCGCCUCGUGAAUUCAUCUCCGGGGGUAGAGCACUGUUUCGGCAAGGGGGUCAUCCCGACUUACCAACCCGAUGCAAACUGCGAAUACCGGAGAAUGUUAUCACGGGAGACACACGGCGGGUGCUAACGUCCGUCGUGAAGAGGGAAACAACCCAGACCGCCAGCUAAGGUCCCAAAGUCAUGGUUAAGUGGGAAACGAUGUGGGAAGGCCCAGACAGCCAGGAUGUUGGCUUAGAAGCAGCCAUCAUUUAAAGAAAGCGUAAUAGCUCACUGGUCGAGUCGGCCUGCGCGGAAGAUGUAACGGGGCUAAACCAUGCACCGAAGCUGCGGCAGCGACGCUUAUGCGUUGUUGGGUAGGGGAGCGUUCUGUAAGCCUGUGAAGGUGUACUGUGAGGUAUGCUGGAGGUAUCAGAAGUGCGAAUGCUGACAUAAGUAACGAUAAAGCGGGUGAAAAGCCCGCUCGCCGGAAGACCAAGGGUUCCUGUCCAACGUUAAUCGGGGCAGGGUGAGUCGACCCCUAAGGCGAGGCCGAAAGGCGUAGUCGAUGGGAAACAGGUUAAUAUUCCUGUACUUGGUGUUACUGCGAAGGGGGGACGGAGAAGGCUAUGUUGGCCGGGCGACGGUUGUCCCGGUUUAAGCGUGUAGGCUGGUUUUCCAGGCAAAUCCGGAAAAUCAAGGCUGAGGCGUGAUGACGAGGCACUACGGUGCUGAAGCAACAAAUGCCCUGCUUCCAGGAAAAGCCUCUAAGCAUCAGGUAACAUCAAAUCGUACCCCAAACCGACACAGGUGGUCAGGUAGAGAAUACCAAGGCGCUUGAGAGAACUCGGGUGAAGGAACUAGGCAAAAUGGUGCCGUAACUUCGGGAGAAGGCACGCUGAUAUGUAGGUGAAGCGACUUGCUCGUGGAGCUGAAAUCAGUCGAAGAUACCAGCUGGCUGCAACUGUUUAUUAAAAACACAGCACUGUGCAAACACGAAAGUGGACGUAUACGGUGUGACGCCUGCCCGGUGCCGGAAGGUUAAUUGAUGGGGUUAGCGGUAACGCGAAGCUCUUGAUCGAAGCCCCGGUAAACGGCGGCCGUAACUAUAACGGUCCUAAGGUAGCGAAAUUCCUUGUCGGGUAAGUUCCGACCUGCACGAAUGGCGUAAUGAUGGCCAGGCUGUCUCCACCCGAGACUCAGUGAAAUUGAACUCGCUGUGAAGAUGCAGUGUACCCGCGGCAAGACGGAAAGACCCCGUGAACCUUUACUAUAGCUUGACACUGAACAUUGAGCCUUGAUGUGUAGGAUAGGUGGGAGGCUUUGAAGUGUGGACGCCAGUCUGCAUGGAGCCGACCUUGAAAUACCACCCUUUAAUGUUUGAUGUUCUAACGUUGGCCCCUGAUCGGGGUUGCGGACAGUGUCUGGUGGGUAGUUUGACUGGGGCGGUCUCCUCCUAAAGAGUAACGGAGGAGCACGAAGGUUGGCUAAUCCUGGUCGGACAUCAGGAGGUUAGUGCAAUGGCAUAAGCCAGCUUGACUGCGAGCGUGACGGCGCGAGCAGGUGCGAAAGCAGGUCAUAGUGAUCCGGUGGUUCUGAAUGGAAGGGCCAUCGCUCAACGGAUAAAAGGUACUCCGGGGAUAACAGGCUGAUACCGCCCAAGAGUUCAUAUCGACGGCGGUGUUUGGCACCUCGAUGUCGGCUCAUCACAUCCUGGGGCUGAAGUAGGUCCCAAGGGUAUGGCUGUUCGCCAUUUAAAGUGGUACGCGAGCUGGGUUUAGAACGUCGUGAGACAGUUCGGUCCCUAUCUGCCGUGGGCGCUGGAGAACUGAGGGGGGCUGCUCCUAGUACGAGAGGACCGGAGUGGACGCAUCACUGGUGUUCGGGUUGUCAUGCCAAUGGCACUGCCCGGUAGCUAAAUGCGGAAGAGAUAAGUGCUGAAAGCAUCUAAGCACGAAACUUGCCCCGAGAUGAGUUCU
rnacentral:rRNA from 1 species